rnacentral:lncRNA from 2 species
CCCGAAGACCGCACCUCUCCUCCUCGCUCGCUCCUCCUCCUCCCCGCGUCCUGGCAGGAGCUCCUCCCCGCUGCCGCCGCUCCUCCGCGCCAUGCCGUAGCCGCCGCCGGGUCCUUCUUCUUUCCCACCUCCGGGUCUUGCUUCUUCCCCAUCCCCACCGACACGGCCGACCUCUUCGCUCAUGCCUCCUCCUCCCUGCUGCCGCCGCUCUGCCGCAUCCUUGCCGGAGCUCUGCCGGAGCUCCGCCGGACUCUUACUCGGAGCCGCCGCCGGAGCAGGCCUCGGCCCCUCAUCAAUCCACUCCACCGUGUAGUCGCUGUCCUGUGCCCCUUUGCAGCUUCACUGCCGAGGCCAACAUCCAGGUUGCCAGACCACCACCUUCUUCAACACCAUAUUGUGGCCCUUGACUUCUGCCUGAUUGCCGUCACAGAGACGUUCAUCAACCCUAGGUGGCCAUGGUACCACGAUGCUGCGGUGAUUGCUGAUACUAUUCCUGUUAUGUCAUGCUUGAUGCUGAAUCACGAGGGAUUCUCCAAGAGUUGGAAGCUGUCAAACAGCACUAGGCAGUCAAGUUGUAGAAAUGGUGAAAAGUAUGGAGAAGCUGCAGUCAAGUUGCUUGCCGCUACAUUACGAGUAACAUGUGAUUUUUCAUCUGAAGACCAAUCCAGAAAUAUUGGGACAAUUUGACUGAAUAACUGCUAAUUAUAACCAAUGUUUUGCUCGAAGUGUUAUUGGAUGUUUUCAUUAGUGGUACAGGUUGCUUACGUAAUCUAUGAUCAAUGGGCGCUUGCUGAUAAAAGAAUGCAUAUAAAUAACAAUUGGUGGAGGCAGAAAAGGAGGCUGGUCAAGUCAGCCUCCUGCAAUUAUGUCACUGGUAUUAUGCUUUCCUAUAGCUGAUCUUUUCCCUCUUCGGUCAUGUUCUGUUCUGUUCUGCUUACCACACCUCUCCUCCUCCCCAAAAAAAAGAUAUGGAACAUCAUCAUGUAGAAACUAAAAUUUAAGUUGACUCAAAUUAAGUAGAAAACAUGCUAGAACGAAGUAUCCCUCCCUCACUGCUGACAAAAGGAAUGAGUGCUUCAAAAGAAUUGAGAGUACAUGUAGCGGUCCUAGCAGAAGAAAGGAAGCAUAUGGAGCAAUAAAUUGGUCUGCCUCUAUUACUAUUAGAGGUAAGCUGAAAAUGAUUAUAAUCUCAUUUGGAUACAGUUAGCAUAAAUAUGUAAGUCAUAAACUCACAGUGGUGCAGUAUAAAUUUUUUUAUAUGAAUUUUGAAUAGCAACCCGAUAUGACACCCAUGCACAUUACAUUUACAGAGAGCAUAUGACAUGCUUGCAAUGAUCAAAAUUCCGAAGAAAUGUGCGGUUGUUGUCGUUAUGAGCUGUGAGGCCCAGCAAGCAGAGCAGAUUAGUGUGAUUUAUUGAUUCUAUAUGUUAAAAUUGAUAUACUACAUCAUGUUUCUAUGUUUUGUAGUGCAGACUUUUUCUAGAGAUAAUUUGUGUAUCCAUUCAAUAAUAUUUUUUUCUACAGCUAAUUCAGGCAAACAACAAUGCUGGGAUGAUUUUUAUAAGUAGGACAUGAACGCUAGAAAGCUAAAUUGACACCCUGGUGCCUCCCGUUUAUAGAUGUCACCAACAAGUAAGAGUGUUCCUCUUGUGUUUAUAUUGGAAUAUUGUUAUUGCUUCUAUCUGUAAAACCUGAAAAAUCUGAAACCAUUCCUAUGCUGAAUAAUAGAAGAUAUAAAAUGAAUAUGUGUCGCCAUUGCAUCCUUAUAUUUAUUUCUUCAAUCCACAAUUAACUAUCUAAACCACUUUUUUAUUUUAAUUCACACAAAUUAUUUUCGUUGCUGGUUUUAGUAUGAAUAUUUUGAUAUAUCUCCGCGCAAAAAAGGAUUUUGAUAUAGCUAUAUGCAUGUGCAUUGCCAUUCGAUUCCUUUUCCAAUAUGUAACAGUAGUCAUUGUAAAUAUACUUUCAUAUUGUUUCUCUCUGUUGGGGCAAGAACUCUGAAAAAUGAUAUUUGGGGUGGUUGAUAAGCUCACCAGGUAAAAAGGUAGAAACCAUGUAAAGAAAACUUCCUUCAAUUUAGUUUGUAUGGGCAUUAAUAAGUUACCUAAAACAAAUACUAAGUAAAUGAUGAGUAUAACCCUAAUCCUCUCAUUUUAGUCUUCAUUUUAGAUAAGUAUUCCUUAUUGAAUGUAAAACUGAAGUUACACUGAUGCAUGAAUACAUAAUUAUUCUAUGGGAUUGGUUGUUAUUUGUACUACUGAGUACUGACCAUUCUCUCAUGAUAUAUGAACAGAGCAUAUGCUCCUAGCAAGAAAUGUGGCAUGGGUGAGUUUAUUGUCUUGCUUUCACCAUGUAUGGAAUGUGGCAUGUGAGUUUAUACUCUUUCUUUCACCAUGUUGACUUUUUGCACAUUUAUAGAAUCUUUUGGUAUGAUGCUUUUUGUCGAUUCACAUGUUUUAUUAAUUAUUAACGACCAGCUGCAUAGGAAAACUGAAGAUGUACAUGGUUGAAAAGCCUAUAACAUUAUUACUAUGUUCAUUUAUCUACAAUCGUUUGGAUUUAAGAGUUUCCAGGAUAAUUUACUAAGGUGGUUAUCUCUGGUAAUUAGUUUCUUGUCUUCAUCUACUCCUUUUAUACCAGAAAAAAUAAUUAUUGGAUGAUGAUAAUAUACUAAGGCCUACUGCAGAUGUUGUGACUAAUAUUGCACAUCUUCAGUGCAUGCUUCUCUAGGGUGGACACUGUUUAUUCCCGACAGUUCUUAAUCACUUAGAAAUAGAGUUAUGGAAUUCAGCAACAUAUGUGAUUUGAUCUGAAAGAAUCAUCAAAGAGUUCAUCUUCGUGUAAGCUUAUAUUAUAAAAGAUUUUA